CUAAAUGUGGCAAAGCUUAAGUGAGUGAACCAAAAGCAAAUGGCCAAAUGAGGUAAAAAUUGGUGUGUUGGUCGUUUUUGGUUAGACUUGAUUUUCUUGUGUAGCACAAAAAUGGCCCAACAGGGUGACUUUAAGACCUUGUAUCUUGAUGAAUACAUGUCCAAAUGGCAAGGCAAUGCAAACAGUAGAAAGAGGGCAUGGAACUUAACAUUUUUC
rnacentral:lncRNA from 1 species